CACGUAGGGUGCGAGCGUUGUCCGGAAUUAUUGGGCGUAAAGAGCUCGUAGGCGGUGUGUCGCGUCGGCCGUGAAAACCUGCAGCUUAACUGUGGGCUUGCGGUCGAUACGGGCAUCACUGGAGUUCGGCAGGGGAGACUGGAAUUCUUGGUGUAGCGGUGAAAUGCGCAGAUAUCAGGAGGAACACCGGUGGCGAAGGCGGGUCUCUGGGCCGAUACUGACGCUGAGGAGCGAAAGCGUGGGGAGCGAACAGG
rnacentral:rRNA from 1 species